rnacentral:rRNA from 1 species
UGGGGAAUAUUGGACAAUGGGCGCAAGCCUGAUCCAGCCAUGCCGCGUGAGUGAUGAAGGCCCUAGGGGUGUAAAGCUCUUUCACCGGUGAAGAUAAUGACGGUAACCGGAGAAGAAGCCCCGGCUAACUUCGUGCCAGCAGCCGCGGUAAUACGAAGGGGGCUAGCGUUGUUCGGAUUUACUGGGCGUAAAGCGCACGUAGGCGGACUUUUAAGUCAGGGGUGAAAUCCCGGGGCUCAACCCCGGAACUGCCUUUGAUACUGGAAGUCUUGAGUAUGGUAGAGGUGAGUGGAAUUCCGAGUGUAGAGGUGAAAUUCGUAGAUAUUCGGAGGAACACCAGUGGCGAAGGCGGCUCACUGGACCAUUACUGACGCUGAGGUGCGAAAGCGUGGGGAGCAAACAGG